GCUCGGAUGGCGGAAUUGGUAGACGCACAGGACUUAAAAUCCUGUGGGCAUUCGUGCCCGUGCGGGUUCGAGUCCCGCUCCGAGCA
rnacentral:tRNA from 2 species